rnacentral:snRNA from 1 species
UGACCCUACUAGUCCCUUCGAUAAAAUUGGAACGAUACAGAGAAGAUUAACAUGGCCCCUGUUUAGAGAAGAUUAGCAUUAGCACAAACCGAGAAAAAUGACG